rnacentral:lncRNA from 1 species
CCUCCUCACUACAGCCCUUUUGGAGUUAUUCAACUGUUUUUCGGUACAUUAAAAAAAAUCUUGAUACAGUCAAAGGCUUUACAAAAAUCCCCAUAUCUUUGAAACUACUGUAAGGAUUUUAUUGAUUUUAGUUUCAUAUGAAAGCCAGUGAGUUUCUUUACCAAAAAGGUCCUUACAAGUUUCCUCCUCACUACAGCCCUUUUGGAGUUAUUCAACUGUUUUUCGGUACAUUAAAAAAAAUCUUGAUACAGUCAAAGGCUUCACAAAAAUCCCAAUAUCUUGGAAACUACUGUAAGGAUUUUAUUGAUUUUAGUUUCAUAUGAAAGCCAGUGAGUUUCUUAACAAAAAAGGUCCUUACAAGUUUCCUCCUCACUACAGCCCUUUUGGAGUUAUUCAACUGUUUUUCGGUACAUUAAAAAAAAUCUUGAUACAGUCAAAGGCUUUACAAAAAUCCCCAUAUCUUUGAAACUACUGUAAGGAUUUUAUUGAUUUUAGUUUCAUAUGAAAGCCAGUGAGUUUCUUUACCAAAAAGGUCCUUACAAGUUUCCUCCUCACUACAGCCCUUUUGGAGUUAUUCAACUGUUUUUCGGUACAUUAAAAAAAAUCUUGAUACAGUCAAAGGCUUCACAAAAAUCCCAAUAUCUUUGAAACUACUGUAAGGAUUUUAUUGAUUUUAGUUUCAUAUGAAAGCCAAUGAGUUUCUUAACAAAAAAGGUCCUUACAAGUUUCCUCGUAUCUACAGCCCUUUUGGAGUUAUUCAACUGUUUUUCGGUACAUUAAAAAAAAUCUUGAUACAGUCAAAGGCUUCACAAAAAUCCCAAUAUCUUUGAAACUACUGUAAGGAUUUUAUUGAUUUUAGUUUCAUAUGAAAGCCAAUGAGUUUCUUAACAAAAAAGGUCCUUACAAGUUUCCUCGUAUCUACAGCCCUUUUGGAGUUAUUCAACUGUUUUUCGGUACAUUCAAAAAAAUCUUGAUACAGUCAAAGGCUUCACAAAAAUCCCAAUAUCUUUGAAACUACUGUAAGGAUUUUAUUGAUUUUAGUUUCAUAUGAAAGCCAAUGAGUUUCUUUACCAAAAAGGUCCUUACAAGUUUCCUCCUCACUACAGCCCUUUUGGAGUUAUUCAACUGUUUUUCGGUACAUUAAAAAAAAUCUUGAUACAGUCAAAGGCUUCACAAAAAUCCCAAUAUCUUGGAAACUACUGUAAGGAUUUUAUUGAUUUUAGUUUCAUAUGAAAGCCAGUGAGUUUCUUUACCAAAAAGGUCCUUACAAGUUUCCUCCUCACUACAGCCCUUUUGGAGUUAUUCAACUGUUUUUCGGUACAUUAAAAAAAAUCUUGAUACAGUCAAAGGCUUCACAAAAAUCCCAAUAUCUUUGAAACUACUGUAAGGAUUUUAUUGAUUUUAGUUUCAUAUGAAAGCCAAUGAGUUUCUUAACAAAAAAGGUCCUUACAAGUUUCCUCCUCACUACAGCCCUUUUGGAGUUAUUCAACUGUUUUUCGGUACAUUAAAAAAAAUCUUGAUACAGUCAAAGGCUUCACAAAAAUCCCAAUAUCUUGGAAACUACUGUAAGGAUUUUAUUGAUUUUAGUUUCAUAUGAAAGCCAGUGAGUUUCUUAACAAAAAAGGUCCUUACAAGUUUCCUCCUCACUACAGCCCUUUUGGAGUUAUUCAACUGUUUUUCGGUACAUUCAAAAAAAUCUUGAUACAGUCAAAGGCUUCACAAAAAUCCCAAUAUCUUGGAAACUUCUGUAAGGAUUUUAUUGAUUUUAGUUUCAUAUGAAAGCCAAUGAGUUUCUUUAUCAAAAAGGUCCUUACAAGUUUCCUCGUAUCUACAGCCCUUUUGGAGUUAUUCAACUGUUUUUCGGUACAUUCAAAAAAAUCUUGAUACAGUCAAAGGCUUCACAAAAAUCCCAAUAUCUUUGAAACUACUGUAAGGAUUUUAUUGAUUUUAGUUUCAUAUGAAAGCCAAUGAGUUUCUUUACCAAAAAGGUCCUUACAAGUUUCCUCCUCACUACAGCCCUUUUGGAGUUAUUCAACUGUUUUUCGGUACAUUAAAAAAAAUCUUGAUACAGUCAAAGGCUUCACAAAAAUCCCAAUAUCUUGGAAACUACUGUAAGGAUUUUAUUGAUUUUAGUUUCAUAUGAAAGCCAGUGAGUUUCUUUACCAAAAAGGUCCUUACAAGUUUCCUCCUCACUACAGCCCUUUUGGAGUUAUUCAACUGUUUUUCGGUACAUUAAAAAAAAUCUUGAUACAGUCAAAGGCUUCACAAAAAUCCCAAUAUCUUUGAAACUACUGUAAGGAUUUUAUUGAUUUUAGUUUCAUAUGAAAGCCAAUGAGUUUCUUAACAAAAAAGGUCCUUACAAGUUUCCUCGUAUCUACAACCCUUUUGGAGUUUUUCAACUGUUUUUCGGUACAUUAAAAAAAAUCUUGAUACAGUCAAAGGCUUUACAAAAAUCCCAAUAUCUUGGAAACUACUGUAAGGAUUUUAUUGAUUUUAGUUUCAUAUGAAAGCCAAUGAGUUUCUUAACAAAAAAGGUCCUUACAAGUUUCCUCCUCACUACAGCCCUUUUGGAGUUAUUCAACUGUUUUUCGGUACAUUCAAAAAAAUCUUGAUACAGUCAAAGGCUUCACAAAAAUCCCAAUAUCUUGGAAACUUCUGUAAGGAUUUUAUUGAUUUUAGUUUCAUAUGAAAGCCAAUGAGUUUCUUUAUCAAAAAGGUCCUUACAAGUUUCCUCGUAUCUACAGCCCUUUUGGAGUUAUUCAACUGUUUUUCGGUACAUUCAAAAAAAUCUUGAUACAGUCAAAGGCUUCACAAAAAUCCCAAUAUCUUUGAAACUACUGUAAGGAUUUUAUUGAUUUUAGUUUCAUAUGAAAGCCAAUGAGUUUCUUUACCAAAAAGGUCCUUACAAGUUUCCUCGUAUCUACAACCCUUUUGGAGUUUUUCAACUGUUUUUCGGUACAUUAAAAAAAAUCUUGAUACAGUCAAAGGCUUUACAAAAAUCCCAAUAUCUUUGAAACUACUGUAAGGAUUUUAUUGAUUUUAGUUUCAUAUGAAAGCCAAUGAGUUUCUUAACAAAAAAGGUCCUUACAAGUUUCCUCCUCACUACAGCCCUUUUGGAGUUAUUCAACUGUUUUUCGGUACAUUCAAAAAAAUCUUGAUACAGUCAAAGGCUUCACAAAAAUCCCAAUAUCUUGGAAACUUCUGUAAGGAUUUUAUUGAUUUUAGUUUCAUAUGAAAGCCAAUGAGUUUCUUUAUCAAAAAGGUCCUUACAAGUUUCCUCGUAUCUACAGCCCUUUUGGAGUUAUUCAACUGUUUUUCGGUACAUUCAAAAAAAUCUUGAUACAGUCAAAGGCUUCACAAAAAUCCCAAUAUCUUUGAAACUACUGUAAGGAUUUUAUUGAUUUUAGUUUCAUAUGAAAGCCAAUGAGUUUCUUUACCAAAAAGGUCCUUACAAGUUUCCUCGUAUCUACAACCCUUUUGGAGUUUUUCAACUGUUUUUCGGUACAUUAAAAAAAAUCUUGAUACAGUCAAAGGCUUUACAAAAAUCCCAAUAUCUUUGAAACUACUGUAAGGAUUUUAUUGAUUUUAGUUUCAUAUGAAAGCCAAUGAGUUUCUUAACAAAAAAGGUCCUUACAAGUUUCCUCCUCACUACAGCCCUUUUGGAGUUAUUCAACUGUUUUUCGGUACAUUCAAAAAAAUCUUGAUACAGUCAAAGGCUUCACAAAAAUCCCAAUCUCUUGGAAACUACUGUAAGGAUUUUAUUGAUUUUAGUUUCAUAUGAAAGC